rnacentral:rRNA from 1 species
AGCAGUGAGGAAUAUUGGUCAAUAGCCUAACGGCUGAACCAGCAACUUGGAGGAAUGUAUUAGCGACCCUGUCGUAUAAAAUUCUAGGUGGAGUUAUGAUUAUGACAUUGUCUAUCUAUGUGUCUUGACCAAAUUACGUGCCAGCUGUCGCGGUAAUACGUAAAAGACUAGUGUUAUUCAUCUUUAAUAGGUUUAAAGAGUACCAAGACGGUUAAUAAAGCCCCUAUAGGGUACACAUUAACUAGAGUUAUAUGAAAGGGGGCUAUUAGGUACUGUUGAGUGUAGAGAUGAAAUUCUGUCAUACCAGAUGAGUGGCACGGGUCUAUGCGAAGGCAUCUCCUUAUGUAAUAACUGACGUUGUAGGACGAAGGCUCCUGAAGUGAACAGGAUUAGAUACCCCAGUAAUCUGAGCAGAAAAUGAUGAAUGUCAUAGGUUAAAUAUAAUUUGGUCUAUAAAUGAAAGUGUAAGCAUUCCACCUCAAGAGUAAUUUGGCAACAUUGGAACUGAAAUCAUUAGACCGUUUCUGAAACCAGUAGUGAAGUAUGUUGUUUAAUUUGAUGAUCCGCAAAAAACCUUACCACAAUUUGAAUAAAUAUAUUUAAAUAUUUACAAGCGUUGCACGGCUGUCUUCAGUUAAUGUCGUGAGAUUUUGGUUAGUUCCAUUAAAUUAACGUAAACCCUUACUUUAUUUAGAUAUAAAGUUGUUCCCCGUUACAUUGGAUAUGAUAAAAGGGACCAAGACAAGUCAUCAUGACCUACAUAUUGUGGGCUAUAGACGUGCCACAUAA